rnacentral:rRNA from 1 species
ACGCUCGACACCUACGGGAGACAGCAGUGGGGAAUAUUGCACAAUGGGGGAAACCCUGAUGCAGCGAUGCCGCGUGAAGGAAGAAGUAUCUCGGUAUGUAAACUUCUAUCAGCAGGGAAGAAAAUGACGGUACCUGACUAAGAAGCCCCGGCUAACUACGUGUCAGCAGCCGCGGUAAUCUGAGCGGGCUGGCAAGGC